ACAACUACCUCAAACAAAAAGAUUUCCCUUAAAACAGAAAACCCAAAUCUAAAGGAACUCUUUUGUAAAAACUAAGUAAAAUAGUCGUACGAGAUAAACUACUAAAUUAUUAACCCUUCGGCGCAUUUAGCUUGUUUCCCUCCUUCAUACGCAUUCCUCUCUUCUGGUGGUCAUCUUUGCAUUCUCUAUUCGGAUUUCAAUCUUAAUUCUGGGUUUUGCUUUCUGGGUGUUUCUGUUUCAGAAUUCAAGGGCUUCAGAUUCAUUCUAUCUUGAUUUCAGGACAACUUAUAUGAGCUGAAUAUUGCACUUUAUGAGAGGUAUAAAUGACAUUGAUCCGCGUUUGAAACGUAUUAAAGAAUCUUUAGAGGAAUCAAAUAGCUUCUUGGAGAAAUCUUGUACCAUCAAUUCGAUUGCCAUUGAUUUGGGAGAUACAAUGGCUAGAACUAUACCCUUCGAAAGAGAAAUGGUAGGAUCAAAAGGGUUUAUAAGGAAAGAUGAAUUUGUUAAAGUUAUUACCAAGGCCUUGUAUUUCCUUGGUUAUAAUAAGACUGGAGCCCUUUUAGAACAAGAAACAGGAAUAGCUCUGCAUUCAUCUAGAGUUACGUCGUUUAUGCAGCUUGUAUUGGAAGGGAAAUGGGAUGAGAGUAUCCUCAGUUUGCGUGCUAUCAACGUCCCAAUUCAAACUGAGAAAUCCGUUAAAUUUAUAAUUUUCGAGCAAAGUUUCUGGAACUCAUACAAAGUGGAAAUACUGAGGAUGCAAUGGUGAUGCUAAGAAAUGAGAUUUCACCUCUUCUUAUAAACACGAACAGGGUUCCUCAGCUUGAUGCCUGCCUUAUCUCUCAUUCGCAGCAAUCCGAAAUAAUUGGUACCGAAACUAUAUGUGUCAGUUCACGGCCAGACAUUCUGGAGAAAUUGCGGAAAUUGUUUCCUGGUGCAACGAUUGUACCUGAAAGAAGAUUAGAGCAACUAGUGGAGCAGGCUCUUGAUAUGCAACGAGAAUCCUGUUUGUUACAUAAUACACUUGAUAGUGAACUGACAUUGUAUACUGACCAUCAAUGUGCGAGAAGCCAGAUUCCUUCCGGAACUGUACAGGUCAGAGCCAGUAUGUGCUGGAUUGUUUUUUUUAAGUCGUGACAGACUAUGAAUGGACACAAGCAUCAAAUUUCAUGAUAAAGUGUUUGUUUCAAAUAA